AGCGUUGUCCGGAAUUACUGGGCGUAAAGAGUUCGUAGGCGGUUUGUCGCGUCGUUUGUGAAAACCCGGGGCUCAACUUCGGGCUUGCAGGCGAUACGGGCAGACUUGAGUGUUUCAGGGGAGACUGGAAUUCCUGGUGUAGCGGUGAAAUGCGCAGAUAUCAGGAGGAACACCGGUGGCGAAGGCGGGUCUCUGGGAAACAACUGACGCUGAGGAACGAAAGCGUGGGUAGCAAACAGGAUUAGAUACCCUGGUAGUCCACGCCGUAAACGGUGGGCGCUAGGUGUGGGUUCCUUCCACGGGAUCUGUGCCGUAGCUAACGCAUUAAGCGCCCCGCCUGGGGAGUACGGCCGCAAGGCUAAAACUCAAA
rnacentral:rRNA from 1 species